UACGUAGGGUGCAAGCGUUGUCCGGAUUUAUUGGGCGUAAAGAGCUCGUAGGCGGUUUGGCAAGUCGGGUGUGAAACCUCCAGGCUCAACCUGGAGACGCCGCUCGAUACUGCUAUGACUUGAGUCUGGUAGGGGAUCACGGAAUUCCUGGUGUAGCGGUGAAAUGCAUAGAUAUCGAGAGGAACACCGGUGGCGAAGGCGGCCUUCUGGACAGCAACUGACGCUGAGACGCGAAAGCGUGGGGAGCAAACAGG
rnacentral:rRNA from 1 species